CCCGGGCCUUGUACACACCGCCCGUCACACCACGAGAGUUUGUAACACCCGAAGUCGGUGAGGUAACCUUUAUGGGGCCAGCCGCCGAAGGUGGGACAGAUGAUUGGGGUGAAGUCGUAACAAGGUACCC
rnacentral:rRNA from 1 species